rnacentral:rRNA from 1 species
AACUGAAAAUAUAAACUAGGAUUAGAUACCCUAUUAUUUUUAAUGUAAAUAGGGAGCCUGAGUAUUAUUAGUUAAUAUCUUUAAACUUAAAGAAUUUGGCGGUAUUAUAGUCUGUUUAGAGGAAUCUGUUACGUGAUCGAUAAUCCGCGUUGAACCUUACUUAUAUAAUUUCUUGUAUACCGCUGUUUAUUAAGAAUACUUUUAGGUUAUUCUUUGGAUAAAAAAAUAUUUAGGGUUUCAAGUCAAGGUGCAGUUAUAUAUAAGUGUAUAAUGGAUUACAAUAAAAUCUAUUUAAAUGAAUUUAUACUGGAAGAGUAUAUUGAAGGUGGAUUUAAAUGUAAUUUUUUGAAGAUUGUUAAAAUGAUUAAAAGCUCUAUAAUAUGUACACAUCGCCCGUCACUCUCAUUUAUUAAGAUGAGAUAAGUCGUAACAAAGUAGAUGUAUCGGAAGAUGUAUCUAGAAUGUUUGAGUUAGUUUAU